rnacentral:rRNA from 1 species
UACAGAGGUCUCAACCGUUGUUCGGAAUCACUGGGCGUAAAGGGUGCGUAGGCGGGUCUUUAAGUCAGGGGUGAAAUCCUGGAGCUCAACUCCAGAACUGCCUUUGAUACUGAGGAUCUUGAGUUCGGGAGAGGUGAGUGGAACUGCGAGUGUAGAGGUGAAAUUCGUAGAUAUUCGCAAGAACACCAGUGGCGAAGGCGGCCAUCUGGACCAGCACUGACGCUGAGGCACGAAAGCGUGGGGAGCAAACAGG